rfam:Penicillium marneffei ATCC 18224 scf_1107713383835 genomic scaffold, whole genome shotgun sequence.
AUUAUGUGUAAAAAGAAAUUAUUAUGGAUAAUUAGCUAUAUAUUAAAGAAUCACAUAGAUGUUAUCUUGAUUCUAAGAGAAAUCCUAAAUAAUAAAACAAAGUGAAUUGAAAUAUCUCAGUAACUUUAGGAAAAUAAAUCAAACGAGAUUAUUAUUUAAGUAAAUACUAAAUAAUAAUAGCCUAAUUUAAGUAAAAUGGAUAAUAUCUGUUUGAAUAUAGGGGAACCUUCCUCUAAGGCUAAAUAUGAUAUAUAAGCGAUAGUGAAUAGUACCGUGAGGUAACAUUUGAAAUAGUAAUUUUAUAAGCAGCUCGAGUAAAAAUUAAAAUUAAAAAUAAGAGUGUACCUUUUGCAUAAUGGGUCAGCAAGUUAAUUUUAGAUGCAAGUGGUAUAAAUAAUUAUAUAUGGUAUAAUCUAUAUAAUUAAAUUACCUAAGAUAAACCAAUUAUGAAAAAAUGAUAAGUAUCUAAAAUUAGACCCGAAGGCUAGUGAUCUUACCAUGAUCAGGGUUAAAAAGGCCCGAACGGGUUAUCGUUGUAUAGAUAUCCGAUGAAUUGUGGUAAGUUAGUGAAAGAUAAAACUGACUAGUAUAGCUGGUUUUCCGCGAAACCUAUGUGAGUAGGUAAUUUAAUUAACAUCUUAGCAGGUACAGAACUGUGAUCUCGGACAAUAUUAUUUUUAUAAUACUUGUUUACAUCGGGGGAUUGUAGUGAUUUUAUCGGAGAGUAUUUGCACUCGGAAGGGCAAAGAUGAAUAUUGAAUAAUCGGACAUAGUACGAUAAGGUUGUAUGUCUAAAGGGAAACAGCCCAGAACAAGAGUUUAAGGUUCCAAAAUUAUUGUUAAGUGAAAUUAAGGAUGUUUUUUUCAAAAACAAUCAGGAAAUAGGCUUAGAGGCGGCCAUUUUUUGAAGAUCUCGUAACAGAGCACUGAUUAAAUUUAAUAGGAAAAAAUACCGAAAAUUUAACGGAUCUAAAUAAUAUACCGAAACCUUGUACACAAUAACUGUGGGGUAGCGGAACAUCGGAUGUUUGAAUAAUUAGUAUAUUUAUUUUAUUAAGUAUACUUACACAUAUAAGUCAAAUGUAUUGUUUAUAAAAAAAAUAUAUUUAUAUAUUUUUUUUAUAAAUU